UACGAAGGGUGCAAACGUUGCUCGGAAUUAUUGGGCGUAAAGCGCACGUAGGCGGCUUAGCAAGUCGGAUGUGAAAGCCCUCGGCUCAACCAAGGAAGUGCAUCCGAAACUGCUGAGCUUGAGUACUUAAGAGGAUCGCGGAAUUCCCGGUGUAGAGGUGAAAAUUCGUAGAUAUCGGGGAGGAACACCAGUGGCGAAGGCGGCGAUCUGGGGAAAGAUACUG
rnacentral:rRNA from 1 species